UACGUAGGGUGCUAGCGUUGUCCGGAUUUAUUGGGCGUAAAGAGCGUGUAGGCGGCCAGGUAGGUCUGCUGUGAAAACUCGAGGCUCAACCUCGAGACGUCGGCGGAAACCAUCUGGCUAGAGUCCGGAAGAGGAGAGUGGAAUUCCUGGUGUAGCGGUGAAAUGCGCAGAUAUCAGGAGGAACACCGGUGGCGAAGGCGGGUCUCUGGGCCGAUACUGACGCUGAGGAGCGAAAGCCAGGGGAGCAAACGGG
rnacentral:rRNA from 1 species